rnacentral:lncRNA from 1 species
UUUCCAAGGCAAUUUGUUGUGGCGUCAUCAUCCACCACAGGUCCCUAUACCAGGUUGCAUCGUAUCUCUGUUUAUGAGCACUGCGAUCAACUUAUGUGGAGCAAAGUCGAUAUAUUGUUCUUAGCACACCACUUCAAGGCACUGGGUAACUCCGUCGGUUGGUUGUUGUUUAUAACGCACAUCAAGAGCCUUCUUUUUUCCAUCUCGAUACCUUCUGCUACGGUGAUGCCAACUCUGUCCCUUAGGGGUUUAAUAACUUUAGCCUGGCUCCAGUUUACCAUAACAUCUUGCUCAUAGCUUUUCAUAGUCAAGGC